rnacentral:rRNA from 1 species
GACGAACGCUGGCGGCGUGCCUAAUACAUGCCAGUCGAGCGCGGAAGGCUGGUCCUUGUACCCACUGGUUGAUCAGCGGACGGGUGAGUCACGCGUGGGGGAUCUGCCUUUGAGCGGGGGAUAACAUUAGGAAACGAUUGCUAAUACCGCAUAAAAUCUUGAAACACAAUUUUUAAGCUUGAAAGAUGCAAUUUCAUCACUCAAAGACGAUCCAGCGUUGUAUUAGCUAGUUGGUGUGGUAAGGUGUCACGCAGGCGAGGAUAGAUAGCCGACCUGAGAGGGGGAGCGGCCACGUUGGGACUGAGGCACGGCCCAAACCCCUACGAGAGGCAGCCGUAGGGGAUCCUCGGGGAUGGAAGAAAGUCGGACUGAGCAACGCCGCGUGAGUGAAGAAGCUUUUAGGGUCGUAAAAGUCAGGUAGUAGAGAAGAACGUUGGGGAGAGUGGAAAGCGCAGCAAGUGACGGUAACUGCCCAGAAAGGGACGGCUAACUACGUG